ACGGCUCAGUAACACGUGGAUAACAUGCCCUAAGGUGGGGGAUAAUCUCGGGAAACUGAGGAUAAUACCCCAUAGGUCUGAUCUGCUGGAAUGCUUUCAGGCCGAAAACUCCGGUGCCUUAGGAUUGGUCUGCGGUCUAUCAGGCUGUAGUGGGUGUAACGGACCCACUAGCCCGUGACGGAUAUGGGCCUUGAGAGAGGGAGCCCAGAGAUGGACUCUGAGACAUGAGUCCAGGCCCUACGGGGCGCAGCAGUCGCGAAAACUUCGCAAUGGGGGCAACCCCGACGAGGGAAUUCCAAGUGCCAGCACUUUGUGUUGGCUGUUCUCCUGUCUAAAAAACAGGAGGAGUAAGGGGCGGGUAAGACGGGUGCCAGCCGCCGCGGUAAUACCCGCGCCCCUAGUGGUGGUCGAUAUUAUUGAGCCAAAAACGUCCGUAGCCGGUCUUUUAAAUCCUUGGGUAAAUCGGACAGCUUAACUGUCCGAAGUCCGGGGAGACUGGAAGACUUGGGACCGGGAGAGGUCAGAGGUACUUCUGGGGUAGGGGUAAAAUCCUGUAAUCCUGGAAGGACCACCGGUGGCGAAGGCGUCUGACUAGAACGGAUCCGACGGUGAGGGACGAAGCCCUGGGGCGCAAACGGGAUUAGAUACCCCGGUAGUCCAGGGUGUAAACGCUGCGGGCUUGGUGUUGGGGGUCCUUAGUGGGCGCCCAGUGCCGGAGAGAAGUUGUUAAGCCUGCUGCUUGGGGAGUAUGUCCGCAAGGAUGAAACUUAAAGGAAUUGGCGGGGGAGCAC
rnacentral:rRNA from 1 species